AGCGGAGGAAAAGAAACUAACAAGGAUUGCCCUAGUAACUGCGAGUGAACCGGCACAAGCCCAGGCUGGAAAUCGCUUCGGCGAGUUGUACAGUUGAGACACGUGACUUAAGCUGAACGGAGGUCUAAGUUGGUUGGAACACCACACCAUGGAAGGUGAUAGUCCUGUGAGACCUCUGCGAAGCGAAAGCCGGUGUUCUAAGAGUCGGACAGUUUGGGAUUGCUGUCCUAAGUGGGAGGUAGACUUCUUCUAAGGCUAAAUACUGACGAAAGACCGAUAGCGAACAAGUACUGUGAAGGAAAGAUGAAAAGAACUUUGAAAAAAGGGUUAAAAUACUUGAAAUCGCUGUGGAGGAAGCUAUGAGCUCGGCUUUGCUGCAGGUGGAACUGCUGGUACGCCAGUGGGGGAGCCUGUAGGAAAACUUUUUUCAGUUUUGAGAGACGCAGCUGUUAGCUCGUUGACAAAAACAACAAAAAGUAGCUGAGCCCAUUGACCCGUCUUGAAACACGGACCAAGGAGUCUAACAUGUGUGCGAGUAGUCGGGUAGAAACCUUACUGCGUAACGAAAGUGAGCCUUGCGAUAUUUGCAGCAAGGGCCGCAUCAGCGAGCUCAGCAUAUAUGUUGGGACCCGAAAGAUGGUGAACUAUGCUUGGGAAAGGCGAAGCCAGGGGAAACUCUGGUGGAGGCUUGUAGAGAUACUGACGUGCAAAUCCGCUCGU
rnacentral:rRNA from 1 species